rnacentral:rRNA from 1 species
AUACGGAGGAUCCGAGCGUUAUCCGGAUUUAUUAGGUUUAAAGGGUGCGCAGGCGGAACUGUAAGUCACCGGUGAAAUCCUACAGCUUAACUGUAGAACUGCCGGUGAUACUGCGAUUCUUGAGUAUAGUUGAGGUAGGCGGAAUGUGUAGUGUAGCGGUGAAAUGCAUAGAUAUUACACAGAACACCGAUUGCGAAGGCAGCUUACUAAACUAUUACUGACGCUCAUGCACGAAAGCGUGGGGAGCGAACAGGAUUAGAUACCCCGGUAGUCC